UAGGGAAUCUUCCACAAUGGACGCAAGUCUGAUGGAGCAACGCCGCGUGAGUGAAGAAGGCUUUCGGGUCGUAAAACUCUGUUAUUGAAGAAGAACGUGUGUGACAGUAACUGGUCAUGCAGUGACGGUAUUCAAUCAGAAAGUCACGGCUAACUACGUGCCAGCAGCCGCGGUAAUACGUAGGUGGCAAGCGUUGUCCGGAUUUAUUGGGCGUAAAGCGAGUGCAGGCGGUCUUUUAAGUCUGAUGUGAAAGCCUUCGGCUUAACCGAAGAAGGGCAUCGGAAACUGGGAGACUUGAGUGCAGAAGAGGAGAGUGGAACUCCAUGUGUAGCGGUGAAAUGCGUAGAUAUAUGGAAGAACACCAGUGGCGAAGGCGGCUCUCUGGUCUGUAACUGACGCUGAGGCUCGAAAAGCGUGGGUA
rnacentral:rRNA from 1 species